rnacentral:rRNA from 1 species
UGAACGCUGGCGGUAUGCUUAACACAUGCAAGUCGAACGGAAACGAUACUAGCUUGCUAGUAGGCGUCGAGUGGCGGACGGGUGAGUAACGCGUAGGAAUCUGCCUGAUAGUGGGGGAUAGCCCGAAGAAAUUCGGAUUAAUACCGCAUAAUCUAUUCGUAGUAAAGUGGGGGACUUUCGAGCCUCACGCUAUCAGAUGAGCCUGCGUAAGAUUAGCUUGUUGGUAGGGUAAAAGCCUACCAAGGCGACGAUCUUUAGCUGGUCUGAGAGGAUGAUCAGCCACAUCGGGACUGAGACACGGCCCGAACUCCUACGGGAGGCAGCAGUGGGGAAUAUUGGACAAUGGGGGCAACCCUGAUCCAGCAAUACCGCGUGUGUGAAGAAGGCCUGAGGGUUGUAAAGCACUUUCAAUUGUGAAGAAAAGUUAGCGGUUAAUAACCGUUAGCCUUGACGUUAACUUUAGAAGAAGCACCGGCUAACUCCGUGCCAGCAGCCGCGGUAAUACGGAGGGUGCAAGCGUUAAUCGGAAUUACUGGGCGUAAAGCGUGCGUAGGCGGUUUAUUAAGUCAGAUGUAAAAGCCCCGGGCUUAACCUGGGAACUGCAUUUGAAACUGGUCAACUAGAGUAUGGUAGAGGAAAGUGGAAUUUCUGGUGUAGCGGUGAAAUGCGUAGAUAUCAGAAGGAACAUCAAUGGCGAAGGCAGCUUUCUGGACCAAUACUGACGCUGAGGUACGAAAGCGUGGGUAGCAAACAGGAUUAGAUACCCUGGUAGUCCACGCCGUAAACGAUGAUAACUAGCCGUUGGGGGGAUUUACCCUUUAGUGGCGAAGCUAACGCGUUAAGUUAUCCGCCUGGGGAGUACGGCCGCAAGGUUAAAACUCAAAGGAAUUGACGGGGACCCGCACAAGCGGUGGAGCAUGUGGUUUAAUUCGAUGCAACGCGAAGAACCUUACCUGGUCUUGACAUCCUGCGAACUUUCUAGAAAUAGAUUGGUGCCCUCGGGAACGCAGUGACAGGUGCUGCAUGGCUGUCGUCAGCUCGUGUCGUGAGAUGUUGGGUUAAGUCCCGUAACGAGCGCAACCCCUAUCCUUAUUUGCCAGCACAUCAUGGUGGGAACUAUAAGGAGACUGCCGGUGAUAAACCGGAGGAAGGCGGGGACGACGUCAAGUCAUCAUGGCCCUUACGACCAGGGCUACACACGUGCUACAAUGGGAAGGACAAAGAGCCGCGAAGCCGCGAGGUGUAGCUAAUCUCAUAAACCUUUUCGUAGUCCGGAUUGGAGUCUGCAACUCGACUCCAUGAAGUCGGAAUCGCUAGUAAUCGUAGAUCAGAAUGCUACGGUGAAUACGUUCCCGGGUCUUGUACACACCGCCCGUCA